AGUUUGAUCCUGGCUCAGGAUGAACGCUGGCGGCGUGCCUAAUACAUGCAAGUCGAGCGAACAGAUAAGGAGCUUGCUCCUUUGACGUUAGCGGCGGACGGGUGAGUAACACGUGGGUAACCUACCUAUAAGACUGGAAUAACUCCGGGAAACCGGGGCUAAUGCCGGAUAACAUGUUGAACCGCAUGGUUCUACAGUGAAAGACGGUCUUGCUGUCACUUAUAGAUGGACCCGCGCCGUAUUAGCUAGUUGGUGGGGUAACGGCCUACCAAGGCGACGAUACGUAGCCGACCUGAGAGGGUGAUCGGCCACACUGGAACUGAGACACGGUCCAGACUCCUACGGGAGGCAGCAGUAGGGAAUCUUCCGCAAUGGGCGAAAGCCUGACGGAGCAACGCCGCGUGAGUGAUGAAGGUCUUCGGAUCGUAAAGCUCUGUUGUUAGGGAAGAAYAAAUGUGUAAGUAACUGUGCACAUCUUGACGGUACCUAACCAGAAAGCCACGGCUAACUACGUGCCAGCAGCCGCGGUAAUACGUAGGUGGCAAGCGUUAUCCGGAAUUAUUGGGCGUAAAGCGCGCGUAGGCGGUUUUUUAAGUCUGAUGUGAAAGCCCACGGCUCAACCGUGGAGGGUCAUUGGAAACUGGAAAACUUGAGUGCAGAAGAGGAAAGUGGAAUUCCAUGUGUAGCGGUGAAAUGCGCAGAGAUAUGGAGGAACACCAGUGGCGAAGGCGGCUUUCUGGUCUGCAACUGACGCUGAUGUGCGAAAGCGUGGGGAUCAAACAGGAUUAGAUACCCUGGUAGUCCACGCCGUAAACGAUGAGUGCUAAGUGUUAGGGGGUUUCCGCCCCUUAGUGCUGCAGCUAACGCAU
rnacentral:rRNA from 1 species